rnacentral:rRNA from 1 species
UGGGGAAUUGUUCACAAUGGGCGCAAGCCUGAUGCCGCAACGCCGCGUGGGGGAUGAAGGUCUUCGGCUCGUAAACCCCUGUCGAAUGGGACGAAUAGCUUCCGGAUUAAUACCCCGGAGGAAUGACGGUACCGUUAAAGGAAGCCACGGCUAACUCUGUGCCAGCAGCCGCGGUAAUCCAGAGGUGGCAAGCGUUGUUCGGAAUUACUGGGCGUAAAGGGCGCGUAGGCGGCCAUCUAAGUCAGACGU